CCCUUAGAUGUUCUGGGCUGCACACGUGCUACACUGGCAGGUUCAGCGAGCUUCAUGCCCUGUUCUGAAAGGAAUGGGAAAUCUUUUCAAAACCUGCCGUGCUUGGGAUAGAUGUUUGCAAUUAUUCAUCUUCAACGAGGAUUGCCUUGUAAGCGCACGUCAUCAGCGUGCAUUGAAUACGACCCUGUAUUCUGUACACACCGCCCGUCGCUCCUACCGAUUGAAGUUUUCGGUGAGUUGACAGGAGGAUUUUUUUGAAACUGGUUCGCCAGUGGAUUUUAGAUCCAAAUGCCAACGAAUCGAUGGCUUUAGAGGAAGGAGAAGUCGUAACA
rnacentral:rRNA from 1 species